rnacentral:SRP_RNA from 1 species
UGCCGGUCCCCUCGCAACGAGAGGACGUUAACUCCGCCAGGCCCGGAAGGGAGCAACGGUAGCGUCUGAUUCGUGUGCCGGGGUGUGGCUGGUGGGA